CUCCCGACCUCGAGCCAAAUAUUUUCCCGUUCAAUCCCACCUAACUCAGUCAUUAAGCAUUUAAUCAUAUGACCUGAAAAUUUUGAAAAUAAUUUCUGUUUGAACCUAAAAAGGACAUGAUUACAUAACAUCAGACGGGCCACACGCGGAACAACUACAGUUAAGAUUCUACGAUAAAAACUUGUCAUUUAUUUUUUCGCGUCCAAACAAGAAACACACAAUUUAUCGAAAAACAUGACUCGUUUUUUAAUUUUUGUUCUUCAAUGUAAGUCCUCAACUACAAUUCAUGCUAACAGGAUUGGCGAACCUGUUUAAAAAAUCAAUAGAAAGUUGACAUAAAGCUGUCAAAAAUAUGUCAAAACCAUCGAAACCUUAGCAAGUGACAAAAGUUCGCUUCAUGCUUCACUGAAAUUGUUCACAAAUCUUCUUUGUCCAAGGACUCGAGAAAAUGUUGGCGUCAUUUCAAGCGAUUUGUCGACCUCUUGGAUUCUCUUGAACAAGGGAGAACCAGCAACUGAAUAUUAAUGACACCAGUGUUGGCUCCCGCAAACAGUGUCUAGGUUUGCUGGCUUUGCUGUGUAGUGGAAAUUACACUAUUAAACACAAGCAAGUUUUAUUAUCUGGAUGAACUGUACGGUAAUGAACUUGUGUUUGGACUCAGUUUUGUCUCUUCAAACAACACUGAUGUAGAAACUGCGGAGCAAUUUAUCCUACUGUACACAAAGAUAUUGGCGCUUGCUGGUAAUAAUUAAUAGAAACACCAAACUACCUAAAGGUAAAUAGAUAUUUAACAGAAUGGAUUAUUUCUCAUUUCCAAUUUUUUAAACUAGAAUAUGAAGCACUUACGUAAUUACAGAUAAGAUAUUAGCUUAACAUCUAAAUGAUAUUUGGACUAGAAGGCAAUGAUCCUUUUUUAAGACUCCACGCCAUAAUAGCAAUGGGUUUCAUGAAAACUGAGACCCCAUUGCAAGCAGUAGUUAUAUUACCAUGGGAGGUUUUUUCCCCAUGUAUUUACUGGCCUUGAAAAAUACUAUUACUUCAACAGUAUUAUAUACAUGUGGUUUAGUUAAAACAGAGAAUAAAUUUAAAGAAAUUAAAGAAAUUUGAGUGGAUAAACAAAAUUAAACCAAAAUAUUAUAUGUAACACAUAAUGUAGAAAUUAAAUAGCAAAACAUGGUUGACAUAAGACAGUAGAGUGAGUUAACAAUUACAGUAGUAAUUGAGAAUGAAAUUGGAAAUGAGGACCAUAUGCUAAUACUAAUUAAAGAGCAAAGCUGUGAAGUUAUCUAAGGUGAUAAUGGCUUGCAAAAACAAUGUUCAAACAAGCCAUUGCAACCAUGAAGCUAUCUGAGGUGCUGCAGACUGCUGUGUUCCUAUACUGGGUCUUGUGAGUACUUUGAUGUGCGACUACAUCUUAGCAAUACUAGUCCUGGAUUUUGCAAUCAAAGGAAAACUUGACCUUUAAAUGGCAUGUUGCUUGGUUGAUGCAUAUCAUAACCGGCUGCUGGGUUUUCUUCUGUUGCGACAACAGGUUAUUGUAGGAGUUUUUAACCCAUGGGUUUCAGUACUGGCCAUGAAAAACUAGUAACACAAGAAAAGGUCGGUACAGGUCUAAAUAUAAUUAGAUGUAUCUUUGUUUAUUUACAUGCAAACUUAGAACACAUCAUGUUUCGUUUCUUGGAGCACCAGUCAGACUUGUGGGGUUACUGAGGUCAUGGCUGCUUGAAAAAGGCCAUGUUCAAACCAACAGCUGCACCCAUGAGGUUAUCUGAGGUGCUGACUAACACAACAUGGGAAUCACUUCAGAGAGCUGGAGCAAACUGCUGUGUUCCUUUGAGUACUUUGAUCUGUAACUACAUCUAUGGAUUUUGAGAUUGAAGGAAAGCUUGACCUUUAAAGGAUGUGUUGCUUGGGUGGGGCAUAAUUAUUAUAGCCUGCCCCUGGGUUUUUCUCCAUUGCGAGCAGUAGUUUUUCUAGAGGGUUUGACCCCAUGCCCUCACUGGGCAUGGAAAAAAAAA